ACUUCCUUACACUCUUGCCAGCAUUAGCCACACCCUGGUGUCUCUCAGCCAGUUUAAGCUGGUGUUAAGGUAGACAAGCAGACUGGUUAAGACCACCAAGACUAAAUGAAGUUGUUUGUCACGGACAUCUUAGGAGGAAGAGAAUACAGAUACCAGACAUUUUCUUUACUAAAAUGGACAGGUUUUGUUUUCUUUUUUCCUUUUAAACGAUUUUUUAUGUAGAAGAAAUUUGAAAAUUUGGAGGCAGCACCAGCUUUUUUUUAAAUGAAGAAUGGUGUAUAUGAACUGAGUCUGUCUGCAUGAUGCAGCUCUGAUGUUUCUUGNAGUUCCAGUCCUGACUUCUUAUAGUGAUGAACAGCAAUGUGGAAAUGUAAGCUGAAUAAACCCUUUCCUCCCCAA
ensembl:processed_transcript